GACGAACCGUGCGAACGUUAUUCGGAAUCACUGGGCUUAAAGCGCGUGUAGGCGGGUCGGCACGUCGGUCGCUGAAAUCCCCCGGCUCAACCGGGGAAGUGGCGCCGAUACGGCCGGCCUGGAGGGGGGUAGGGGGGCCUGGAACUUCCGGUGGAGCGGUGAAAUGCGUUGAGAUCGGAAGGAACGCCCGUGGCGAAAGCGAGGCCCUGGACCCCAUCUGACGCUGAGACGCGAAAGCCAGGGGAGCGAACGGG
rnacentral:rRNA from 1 species